AAGACUAUACUUGUAGGGCUCAGAUAUGGAUCAUUAGCAGAGAAGUUUCUGUGACUGUGUAGAAUACCAGAGAACACAGUGGUGAAAGGUAGCAUUCCCUGCUGAGUGUGAAGCUGGUUCUUGGUCUUGCAUUUCUGCAGCCCUUUGCCAUUGUUGGUUUUUCUUCUCUUCUUUUGGGAGAGAGGAAAAGGAAAGGCAGUUUGAGUGGA
ensembl:snoRNA U3 Small nucleolar RNA U3